UACGUAGGGUGCGAGCGUUGUCCGGAAUUAUUGGGCGUAAAGAGCUCGUAGGCGGUUUGUCACGUCGACUGUGAAAACCCGAGGCUUAACCUCGGGCCUGCAGUCGAUACGGGCAGACUAGAGUUCGGUAGGGGAGACUGGAAUUCCUGGUGUAGCGGUGAAAUGCGCAGAUAUCAGGAGGAACACCGGUGGCGAAGGCGGGUCUCUGGGCCGAUACUGACGCUGAGGAGCGAAAGCGUGGGGAGCGAACAGG
rnacentral:rRNA from 1 species